rnacentral:lncRNA from 13 species
AUCCACAAUGGAAGGCAGAGGUAAUUAUUUUAACAGGACAAAGGCCUACCACUUAUUUAAAUAAUGUUAAAGGUCAGAUCUUAGGUUAGGCUUAUAGUUGUCUGGGCAGUGAUCUAAACCAAAACAUUGCUACUUUUAGUUUUAGGGUCUAUACUUUUCUCUUUUUUGUCCAUUACAAAACAGAGGUGCCAAGGUUGAUGAAGUACUACAACAUCACCACCGGCAAUACUAUGGAUUCUCAUAUCCAGUUUAUGCAACAACUUGGAGGAGGCUUCACUGAAGUGAUGUCACCAGAGCAGAGUGAUAUCAUCAUGGCUUUCUGUACCAUCGUCUCUCGUGCUGGUACUGAUAUUGAGGCAGCACAGCAGCAGAUUCCAGAGGGUAAAGAUGUCAUUCUGGUAGUCCUGCAUCAUUAUUUUAACCCAGACUGCACUGUACCUGACAGCAGCAGACUAGUGACCAGAAGUGAUGUAAUACUCACAGUAGACUGUCUGUUCCAUGAGAGUAAGGGAGGACUACUGAACUGUCCUCUUAAUGAAGAAGCCGUUAAAGAGAUUAGGAAGAAACUUGACAUACAUCCUGAGACCAAAGACCAGAUGGACAGUGUGUGGAGGAUUUUCUCUGUCUGUUGUAGAAUAGUUGUAAUCUUGGCCAUUGGGACUGUUUUAAAGAAAAUUAUUUCAGAGAAAUAUGCUUAG